AUGCUAGUCGUGCGCCGUCCUACCCUUGUUGCAAGCGCGGCAUACCUCUCAAACACACGUGUUUAAUCUGCCCUUAACACUGAUAACCCUCCGGGAAACUGGCUAAAAUGCUGGACAGGCGAAGAUGCCUGAUGGUUUGCUUCGCCGAAAAGGCGUCUAAAACAUGGUUUUGACCCUGCCUAAGGAUGAGACCGCGACCGAUCAGGUUGUUGGGGGGGUAACCGCCCAACCUUUCAAUAACCGGGACCGUGCCUGAGAUGGGGAGCCCAGAGAUGGAACCUGAGACAACGUUGCCCGCCUUACCGGGCCCAGCACGAACACUCACUCCUGAAUGCAAGAAAGAGGGAUGUAUUUCCCCCGAGUGCCGACCGUUGAUGAUUUUUUUUCAUCUAAUUAAGGAGGCGAAUAAAUAAGCGGGGAAACAA
rnacentral:rRNA from 1 species